AUUGAACGCUGGAGGCGUGCUUAACACAUGCAAGUCGCGCGAGAAAGGGACUUCGGUUCUGAGUAGAGCGGCGCACGGGUGAGUAACGCGUGGGUAAUCUCCCCUGGUGAUCGGGAUAACAGCUGGAAACGGCUGCUAAUACCGGAUAAUCUUCAUGUUUAACUUCAUGAGGUAAAGGUGGCCUCUGCUUGCAAGCUACCACAUCAGGAUGAGCCCGCGUCUCAUUAGCUAGUUGGUGAGGUAAUGGCCCACCAAGGCUACGAUGAGUAGCUGGUCUGAGAGGAUGAUCAGCCACACUGGGACUGGAACACGGCCCAGACUCCUACGGGAGGCAGCAGUGGGGAAUAUUG
rnacentral:rRNA from 1 species